GCGUUGUCGGUGGGGGCGAUACUGCAAAUAUUGUACAUUAUUCCCACUAUAGGUUAUAUUUACAGAAGAACAUAUGAGAGGAUGCGGGAACGUGAUAAGAAUGACUUGACUGCUAUUUUGAUGCGCGACAUCAAACAGCUGAUGCGGGAUUGUGAGCCAUUUUAAUGAUCUUGUCACCCGAUAUUCGUUCUAUUACUGGCCUUAUUUGUUUUAGUGUUAGCCUAUUUGAAUUAAUUACGUAAUGUUUUGUGUUCACGUUCUAUGUGAAACAUAAGUGUUCAUGUUCUGUGUGAAACAUAAGUUCAGUAGCCUCUUUGAGUGAAUGAAAUUUGAAAGCGUGAGUGUGUAGUGAAUGAAAAAUGUGUGCGUGUAUGGUGGGACUAUUUUCUGUAUUUGAUAAAUAAACCCCUUUUCUCUAAUAA